GAAAGAGCCGGAAAAA
rnacentral:rRNA from 1 species